rnacentral:rRNA from 1 species
AAUAGAUACCCUGGUAGUCCUGGCCGUAAACGAUGAGCACUGGAUCGAGGACUCCCCCAUAGGUUCUCGGUCGUAGCGAAAGUGUUAAGUGCUCCGCCUGGGGAGUAUGGCCGCAAGGCUGAAACUCAAAGGAAUUGACGGGGGCUCACACAAGCGGUGGAGGAUGUGGCUUAAUUCGAGGCUACGCGAAGAACCUUAUCCAGGCCUUGACAUGUACGGAUUAACCUUAUGAAAGUAGGGCCACGCCUUCGGGUGGAACGUACACAGGUGCUGCAUGGCUGUCGUCAGCUCGUGUCGUGAGAUGUCGGGUUAAGUCCCUUAACGAGCGAAACCCUUGUCUCUAGUUGCCAGCGCGUAAUGGCGGGGACUCUAGAGAGACUGCCGGUGUUAAACCGGAGGAAGGUGGGGAUGACGUCAAGUCCUCAUGGCCUUUAUGGCCUGGGCUGCACACGUCCUACAAUGGCGCAUACAAAGGGGAAGCAAGCUCGCGAGAGUUAGCAAAUCCCAUAAAGUGCGCCCCAGUUCGGAUUGCAGGC